UUCUAUUGUGUACAUGCAUUACAUUAUGUGCUUGAAACGGAGUCAAUUAUUCAUCUGGAAGCUGAAACAGAAGAACCAGCUCUGGUUCCUAAUGAUGGCCUCCUUCACUUCCAUCAACACCUCUUUGGACCGCAUGUUGAAAGUUCUCAUGAAGUUUCAACAUGUUUUCAUGAAGAUACCAAGUCCAAUGCUUGGAAACAACUCAAGACCUUUUAUCUCAUUAAUUUGUCACGAAAUAACAGGAGGGAAACAUAAAACUGCUUAUCAGUCAAUUGUCCAAUUACUUUUGAGCCUGUGAAAAUGGAUGGAUUCUGUAAAAAAAAAAAAAAAAGGCUGUUAAUGCAAAAUUUUUAUUAAACCCUUUGAAUUAAUACUGAAAGUCUACACUUCAAUCACACCUCGAUUUCAUUUCAAA
ensembl:lncRNA